CUCUCCCUCUCCCUCUCUCUCUCUCUCUCUCUCUCUCUCUCUCACUCUCUCUCUCUCUCUCUCUCUCUCUCUCUCUCUCUCUCUCUCUCUCUCUCUCUCUCUCUCUCUCUCUCUCUCUCUCUCUCUCUCUCUCUCUCUCUCUCUCUCUCUCUCACCUUGAACGCCAUGCACGGAGGCCGUCCCCGCCGCCCGCCGAGGGGAGAGAGGUGCAUGCUGGGAGGUAAGAGGAGACUGUGGGGGCACUCCAUGCUCAUCAUGAGAUGAACGCCCUUCCCCGCGUGCUGAUUGGAUGAUCUGCCGAGCAAUAAAGAACAUGAACUCGCAGGAUCUGAAUGGUGUCACGUGGCUGUAUUAACCCUAGUGUAAAGCUCCCUUAUUCACCCAUUUCUAACCUGAAAGCAAACGCCUGCUGCAGUUUAUACAUGCUGUUGCUUAAGCACAUAUUGAGUACAUGUUGUAACAUCACUUAUUGCACAGUACUUGCUUGUCUAAUUACACUGCGACAGGACACUGUGUUGUUAAGUGUAACCCAAACAAUUUUGCCCAACCGAAGUUUCAACCUUUUGUAUAGGCCUAAUCGACCACUAAGCACUUGCAGCUGGGCCCUGUACCCUAAUAGAGGGCUUAAUGGGGAUAUUCAAACAAUUAAGGAGACAGGUUCAACUGCAGUAGUCAUGGCGACGAGCUUGAAUCCCUGUCUUUGUACUAUCUUUUUGGUGUGGUAGGCAGCCUGAUAAUACUCUGUUUAUCCCUGUGCAUCCCCUACACACCUAUCAUGAAACCUCAUGUCACAGCUGAUCAAAAGAAUGUAUCAAAAGUACGAAAGUACCCCUUUGUUAUAGUUGCUGUCUGAAAUGAAUGUGCCAACAUAUACCUUUGUGUAUUGUCUCAUGUGCCGUAGCUUUUGAAAGGUCAUUUGAGUUUCCGAUUAUGUGGGGGGGGAAUUACAGAUUAAUCAUCUGCAAUAAAAUAGAUUUUUUUCUUCUCCUUUUUUUCCCCUUCUGUCGUUUGUUUUUU
ensembl:lncRNA